rnacentral:rRNA from 1 species
UACUCCUACGGGAGGCAGCAGUGGGGAAUAUUGCACAAUGGGCGCAAGCCUGAUGCAGCCAUGCCGCGUGUAUGAAGAAGGCCUUCGGGUUGUAAAGUACUUUCAGCAGUGAGGAAGGGGGUGUCGUUAAUAGCGGCAUCUCUUGACGUUAGCUGCAGAAGAAGCACCGGCUAACUCCGUGCCAGCAGCCGCGGUAAUACGGAGGGUGCGAGCGUUAAUCGGAAUUACUGGGCGUAAAGCGCAUGCAGGUGGUUUGUUAAGUCAGAUGUGAAAGCCCGGGGCUCAACCUCGGAACUGCAUUUGAAACUGGCAAACUAGAGUACUGUAGAGGGGGGUAGAAUUUCAGGUGUAGCGGUGAAAUGCGUAGAGAUCUGAAGGAAUACCAGUGGCGAAGGCGGCCCCCUGGACAGAUACUGACACUCAGAUGCGAAAGCGUGGGGAGCAAACAGGAUUAGAUACCCUGGUAGUCCACGCCGUAAACGAUGUCUACUUGGAGGUUGUGGCCUUGAGCCGUGGCUUUCGGAGCUAACGCGUUAAGUAGACCGCCUGGGGAGUACGGUCGCAAGAUUAAAACUCAAAUGAAUUGACGGGGGCCCGCACAAGCGGUGGAGCAUGUGGUUUAAUUCGAUGCAACGCGAAGAACCUUACCUACUCUUGACAUCCAGA